rnacentral:lncRNA from 12 species
UUUUUUAAAUUUUUUUUUUUUGCUUUCCUUUUAAAUUUUUUAUUUCUUUUUUAAUUUCAUUUUUAUUUCCUUUCUGUUUUUACUGCUUUUUUUAUUGCUUUAUUUAAUUUUUACUCGUGCUUCUUUUUUAAUUCCAUUUCUUUCCCUUUUUGUUACCUUUCAAUUUCCUUAAAUUUUUUCUUUACUCUUUCCUUUUUUUCUGUUCCAGUUUAAAUUUCAUUUUUCAGCUUUUAACAUUCAUUUUAAUUCCACAUUUAAUGCCCCUGAGUGAAUCCAAAGCUUCUCCCCACUAUUAUUCAUUUUCCUGCUUUUCUGCAGUUUCCUGGGACGAUGCUGUAUUUAAAGAGAAUAUUUAAGUGGAAAAAUAAAAAGUGGUUAAACUUGAUGGGGAGUUGUGGCUUAAAUACAUAAAAUUCGAGUUAAAACAACCAAAAACUGGGCUAAAUAUUACAAAACUUGGGUAAAAUUAAUGAAAUUCGGGUUGAAUCUGCCGAGGUUUGGGUGAGGUUCUCUAAGUUUGGGUUGAAGUGACAAAAUUUGGGUUGAAAUCCCCUUGGGCCCCUUCAGAGCCCGAGAUCAGACUCAGCGCGGGGCGGGCUGGGGUCGGCGGGGAGCCCCUGAGCCCCAGCUCGGGGAUCCCGUUGUCCCGGGGAUCCCAUGGAUCCCAUUAUCCCAGGAUCCCAUUGUCCCAUCCCAUGGAUCCCAUUGUCCCAUGGAUCCUAUUGUCCCAUGGAUCCCAUUGUCCCGGGGAUCCCAUUGUCCCAUGGAUCCCAUUGUCCCAUCCCAUCCCCCCCCCCCCCCCCCCCCCCCCCCCCCCCCCCCCCCCCCCCCCCCCCCCCCCCCCCCCCCC